UACGGGGGGUGCAAACGUUGUUCGGAAUUACUGGGCGUAAAGGGCUCGUAGGCGGCCAACUAAGUCCGACGUGAAAUCCCAAGGCUUAACCUUGGAACUGCGUCGGAUACUGGAUGGCUUGAAUUCGGGAGAGGGAUGCAGAAUUCCAGGUGUAGCGGUGAAAUGCGUAGAUAUCUGGAGGAAUACCGGUGGCGAAGGCGGCAUCCUGGACCGACAUUGACGCUGAGGAGCGAAAGCUAGGGGAGCAAACGGG
rnacentral:rRNA from 1 species